rnacentral:rRNA from 1 species
UACGGAGGGUGCAAGCGUUUAUCCGGAUUCACUAGGUUUAAAGGGUGCGUAGGCGGGUUGGUAAGUCCGUGGUGAAAUCCCCAAGCUUAACUUGGGAACUGCCGUGGAUACUAUCAAUCUUGAAUAUCGUGGAGGUAAGCGGAAUAUGUCAUGUAGCGGUGUAAAUGCUUAGUAUAUGGACAUAGAACACCAAUUGCGUAGGCAGCUUACUACACGAUCAUUGACGCUGAGGCACGAAAGCGUGGGGUAGCAAACGG